UACAGAGGUCUCAAGCGUUGUCCGGAUUCAUUGGGCGUAAAGGGUGCGUAGGUGGCGCCGUAAGUCGGGUGUGAAAUUUCGGAGCUUAACUCCGAAACUGCAUUCGAUACUGCGGUGCUUGAGGACUGGAGAGGAGACUGGAAUUCAUGGUGUAGCAGUGAAAUGCGUAGAGAUCAUGAGGAAGACCAGUGGCGAAGGCGGCUCACUGGUCCGGUACUGACGCUGAGGUGCGAAAGCGUGGGGAGCAAACAGG
rnacentral:rRNA from 1 species